rnacentral:rRNA from 1 species
GAUGAACGCUGGCGGCGUGCCUAAUACAUGCAAGUCGAGCGAACAGACGAGGAGCUUGCUCCUCUGACGUUAGCGGCGGACGGGUGAGUAACACGUGGAUAACCUACCUAUAAGACUGGGAUAACUUCGGGAAACCGGAGCUAAUACCGGAUAAUAUAUUGAACGGCAUGGUUCAAUAGUGAAUGACGGUUUUGCUGUCUCUUAUAGAUGGAUCCGCGCCGCAUUAUCUAGUUGGUAAGGUAACGGCUUACCAAGGCAACGAUGCGUAGCCGACCUGAGAGGGUGAUCAGCCACACUGGAACUGAGACACGGUCCAGACUCCUACGGGAGGCAGCAGUAGGGAAUCUUCCGCAAUGGGCGAAAGCUUGACGGAGCAACGCCGCGUGAGUGAUGAAGGUCUUCGGAUCGUAAAACUCUGUUGUUAGGGAAGAACAAAUGUGUAAGUAACUAUGCACGUCUUGACGGUACCUAAUCAGAAAGCCACGGCUAACUACGUG